CCGUCGUCUCCAUCGCGAGGAGGAGGUCAGGUCGAUGUCCUCCUUCUGUGUCUUGCAGCAGGACCAGCACCAGGAGGAGAACGCCCAAUGAAUCAGCGAAAUAGUUUGUCCAUAGAUCUGAGUGAUAAAAGUGACAAGAAGGGGACUUGUAGGAGAAAGGCAACCAUGACGAAAAUGAUGAUUUUGAUGCACACUGCAUAUUUCAUGAUAUGCAGGAAAAAACAUGAAUGGAGUUGAAAGAUUUAGUAAGGCACUCCAAUAUCUGGUUGAGAUGAUGAAAGUCUUUGUAAUCAGGUAUUAAUUUCAGAUUUAGAUUCUCAAAUAUUCUUUUGUCUGCUAUGUCCUUCAAAAUGAUCUAACUAUGUGUUUCAGCUUUUUGAGAGGAAGGUCAAAACGUUAGCGUGUAUAUCAGUAGAGCAGUUUAUGACCUAUGGAGAGUAUUUUUGGGCAGAUUUGUGUGAUAGUUUCAGUUUGCUACUUCAAAUGUAUAAGACGCUUUGGUUUUGCCUUCCGGAGUUUCCAAUAAUCUCCCUCUUUUGC